rnacentral:rRNA from 1 species
AUUGAACGCUGGCGGCAGGCCUAACACAUGCAAGUCGAGCGAGCGGCGGACGGGUGAGUAAUGUAUGGGGACUGCCCGAUAGAGGGGGAUAACUACUGGAAACGGUGGCUAAUACCGCAUACUAUCGGAUAACCCAUAUGGGAUUAGCUAGUGGGUGGGGUAAAGGCUCACCUAGGCGACGAUCUCUAGCUGGUCUGAGAGGAUGAUCAGCCACACUGGGCCUGAGACACGGCCCAGACUCCUACGGAGGCAACACUGGGGAAUGUUACACAAUGGACUCAGGCCUGAUGCGACCAUGCCGCGUAUAUGAAGAAGGCCUUAGUGUUGUGAAGUACUUUCAGCGGGGAAGCGGUACCCGCAGAAGAAGCACCGGCUAACUCCGUGCCAGCAGCCGCGGUAAUAC